UCCGAGAUCGUCUAAUGGCAGGACAACGGACUCUGAAUCCGUUUAUCUUGGUUCGAAUCCAAGUCUCGGAA
rnacentral:tRNA from 1 species